CUGGCAGAGCCGCCUGUCUUUGGUGACGGCUGGGUCGUGCAGGAAGUUUACGAGUUGCGUUAUAGCCGCUAAUGAGCAUUAAUUCCCUGGGCCUGUCAGUUCGUAACAAGGCUUGAACUGAUAACUGGCAAUCGGGCUUAAUGUUCUGCGCCCAAAAAUACAGUGGCUUUCCUGAGUAAUGAAGUUAAAAUACCAAUAAAAACUUAGGAAAAUAUGCUCCCUCCUCUUUUAUUGUUGUCUAAUAACUUUAUAUUACCACAGUGCCUAGAAGACCCAAGAGCAUGACUCACUGGGCUCGUAUUUAAAAACGGUGAUUGCGCAGUCCUCUUCUGAACGGCUUUUCAACCAACCUGAGGACAGAAAUGCUCAGCAGGUCGAGAGGAAGCGCCUCAAACCAGCUCCUGAGAUGUGAAGGCCGUGGCCGUGCCCGUAUCCAGCCCAGGAGCAAUGCUCAGUCCCUGUGUCAGCACAAGCGGCCCGCGUUGCUUUGGCUGAUGUUUUGUGCCUCCGGGACCUCGGGCUGCAGUGUGAAUAGCUGGCAAGAAGCGCGAUCCGGCUGGCAUUGGGAGCGAAAGGGAGGAAGGCUGACGGGCAGCGAUGAGAGAGAUGAAGCAAUAGGGGCGAGAAGAGUUAUGGGCGAGCUGGAAGGAGGGGGUGAUACUUGAGCCUCCACGCAGAAGAAAAGCCAGCGGAGGGAUUUCGGAGGACAGCGUGUAGCCCGGCUCAGAUCCCGUGGAAAGGAAGGAGCCGAGUAGCCGAGCUGGGCUGAAAGCACGAGAUGUGGAGGAGGCAGACGGGCGGUGAGGGCCGUGGCUUGGGGCAGUGUCGGCCGCCGCGCUCCCCACGCCCUGGCUCGCGGUGUAGAUCGCGUUACAGCAGCUUUGCACCCAGAGUUGCGGCUUGUCUCGCCAGCAAGAUGUAUAAAUUUUUGUCGUGUUUUGUCAUGUUGAAAUGCGAAUUGUUUACCCUUUCACUUCUUGCAUUUUUGUAAGGAAAAGGAAUGAUGACAAAAAGCGAGGCUGGCAAUAUGUUGAAUGGCUUUUUCGGUAAAACAAAGCUACCCCCAAAACUUCUUUCUAGCCUGUUUGAACAUAAAUAAUCUACUUAGUAUUUUACACCACGUGUUACCACAGGCAAAUUUCUGAUGUAGGACAAUGGGGCUAAUAUUCAAGUAGCUGUUAUUCGAACCACAACCUCCGACUGCUGAACUUCAGAGCGCCAGAAAAACAACAGCAUUGCUCGCAAAGAAUGUCUCUGAAGAGUUUAGUUUGCUUAUUAGUCUCCUCACACUAACGAUAUCCAAAAUUACAAAUGAAUGAGGGAAUUUGAUUUUAACAGCACCAUUAAACAAUCAUGUAAGAGGACGAAUUCAUUCUUUCUCGCUGGUGCUUUAAGCUAAUGUGCUGUAGGAGAGCAUGGGGUUUUUGAUUAGAUCUAAAGCUGGCUGGUCUCGCUCUCCCGUUAUUAGUUGGAAGCAAACUUGGUAAUGCAGCAUGCAGAUGAGUCUUUUGUUGGUGUUUUUUUAAAGUAAUGAAUAUACUCUGAAACAUUUCUCAAGAAUGUGCUUUUCGCUGCAGAGCCAACCCAGAGCAACUGUUGAGAGCAAAUGCUUUUUUUUUUGGUUCCUUUAAAGUGCUCCUGUCGACCCGUAACCUCACCUUUCGG
rnacentral:lncRNA from 1 species